ensembl:lncRNA LINC02209 long intergenic non-protein coding RNA 2209
GAUGACAGAAGGCUGAGGAUGGAGAGAGGCACUGAUAGAGGCCAGACCAGACAAGCAGUGCCAAGUCCAUAGUGGGACACCAAAGGGAGGAGGCAAUCCCAGAUGAGGUCCAUCCCAGAACCAGACCUUGCAGGGACCUCAAGGAGCUAUGAACAUAGAAACCCUAUACAUGAUAUCACUUGAAUCCCUCCACAAGGGCUUCUGAUAUUGUCUUAGACCUUUGGAAAGUUCAGGGGUAGUAGCCUCUGGGCCCAUAGUGCUCCCCUGAUGAUGCAGCCCCACCCUCAACUCUUGCCACUGCAGAUGCUCCUUGGGCAGUUUCAUCUGGGCCUUUCACAUCAGCUCCCUCCAAAUGUGACUGGACCUCAAAUGGAUCUUCAGACCCCCAUGCCCAACCACCUCCCAGCUACCUUCCCUGGACAACCCACAGGUCACAUGAUCACCAGGAAGCCCAUGUCUCUGCAUGAUAACCUGGAGAAACCUACAGAUGCCAGGCUUCUGAAUCUCAUUCACCAUGCUUCCCAGGGAUCAAGGAAGAAAUACCCAGAGAUACAGACUGAAAAAUCAGGAAACUGGAUGGGAUUCAGAGCCCUUGGAAUGGAGCCUUCUCAUUCAUUCACCCAACUCCAGUCUAAAACGUGCAGCUCUGAAGCAGGGCUGCUUCAUAGAGACUUGAGUAAAUAGCACAGUAAAGCCCAGGUUUUACCAGUGAGGAGGAGAGUAAAUACACUGAUCAUUUGCAAGAGCACCUCUUCAGAUAUGGCACCUCUCCUUGGAGAGAGGAGACUAUGGAAGACAGGGAGACCAUUCUAGCUGAAGCUCACACCACUUACACAACAAAAGAUCUAAGUCGAAAAGGGAGAGAGUAAAGACCUGGCUCACAUGGGUGUGAAGUGUGCAUGUGGAAACAUUGCAUCUUUAACAUUUCACAACAUCUUGUAGCAGGCUUACUAUGGCAGGAAGGACAAGUGUGGCUGGCCCAGCCAGUGCUGUCCUGCUCAGACCUUCCUAGGCUUUGCAAUGCUGGGAUAAUAGGGAAGCCACACUCAAUGAGCAUCUCUCAGCCUCACAUCUCCUGGUCAACCCAGAAUGCCACAACCACAGGCCGAACCACAGAUCUGGAGGCUGGGAAAUCCAAGAACAUGGCACUGGCAUCAGGCAAGGGUCAGCCCAUGCUGGAGGGCAGAAGGCAGAAGUGAGCAUGUGAGACAGAGAUAAGAAAUUAGGCUGAACUUGCUUGUAUAGCAAACCCAGCCUCUCAAUAACUAACCCGCUCCAGCAAUAAUGGCAUUAAUCCAUUCAUGAGGGCAGAGCCCCCAUGACCUAUUCACAUCCUAAAGGCCCCACAUCAAUCAUAUCUCAACAUGAGGUUCAGAGGACACAAACAUUCAAACCAUAGCAGUAAGUAAUCCUUUUUCUUAAAAAAAAAUUUAUGUUUUUACUAAAAUAUUUUAUAAAUUUGCUUUAAAAUUUUUAAAUAAUAUGGAAGCUAUAGAGUGGGAGUGGGUAGGAAGAUUCUGCAAAUCUCCAGUCUUCUCCUGCUCCCUCUUCACUCCCCAUCCCAACCUACCAUUCUGCACUACCAGGGUAACCACUGCUAACAUUCCAUGCUUUGUGAAUAUUCUGAAUGUUUUUUAAAGGAAAUAAGAUCAUUUCUUACAUACUAUUCUGCAACUUAUGUUUUAAUGUAAUGUAUGUUAGAGAGCUUUCCAUAUUAAUACAAUAUGUGUGGCCCAUUUUAAUAGCUAUAAGCCAUUGUAUUAACAUACCAUCAUGAGGGUACACUGCCACCUUGGAUGAACACGUAGGCUACUUCCUUGUGUCUAUAUAUUUGCUUUUGUUAUUAUUAGAAAGCAGCAAGGAACAGCCUGUACACAUAACUUUGCAAGUUUACAUGAAUUUAUCUACAAAAUAAAUUCAUAGAAGUAGAAAUGGUGAGUCAAAGGAAUGAAGCAUUUAAAAUUUUUAUAGAUAUUGCCAAAUUGAUCUUCAAACACUUGUACCAAUUUGUUCUCCCAGGAACAACAGUGUGCAGGCAUAUUUGUUUGCAUAGAUCCUAGCCAACUGAGGGAGUUAUCGAACUAUUAAAUCUCUGCCAAUCCAA